rnacentral:lncRNA from 1 species
UUUACGAUAUCUACGAAGUUGCUGCUUUGAAGUGGAAGGCCAAGAAAAACAGAGAGCACUGGUUUGAUGAGCUUCCCAGGACAGCGCUCCUCAUCUUCAAAGGUCGCCGGCCUGGGCCCUGUGGAGUACUUGUCUUCCGGAUGGAACUUGUUCGACUUCUCCGUGACAGUGUUCGCCUUCCUGGGACUGCUGGCGCUGGCCCUCAACAUGGAGCCCUUCUAUUUCAUCGUGGUCCUGCGCCCCCUCCAGCUGCUGAGGUGAUGGGCAGGGCAGAGCCGGAGACAGGGAGAAAGAGAGGGAGGGCGGGAAUGCCCCAGGAUUGAUCCGGGAAGUGACCCAGAAUGAG